rnacentral:rRNA from 1 species
UACGGGGGGUGCUAGCGGUAUUCGGAAUCAUUGGGCGUAAAGGGCGCGUAGGCGGUCUUUUAAGUCAGAUGUGAAAGCCCUCGGCUUAACCGAGGAAGUGCAUGUGAUACUAAGAGACUUGAGUAUGGGAGAGGGAAGCGUAAUUCCUGGUGUAGCGGGGAAAUGCGUAGAUAUCAGGAGGAACACCGGUGGCGAAGGCGACUUCCUGGACCAAUACUGACGCUGAGGCGCGAAGGCGUCGGGAGUAAUCAGG